rnacentral:misc_RNA from 1 species
GAUGAAGAACGCAGCGAAAUGCGAUAAGUAGUGUGAAUUGCAGAAUUCAGUGAAUCAUCGAAUCUUUGAACGCACAUUGCGCCCCUUGGUAUUCCAUGGGGCAUGCCUGUUCGAGCGUCAUUUGUACCUUCAAGCUUUGCUUGGUGUUGGGUGUUUGUCUCGCCUUUGCGUGUAGACUCGCCUUAAAAUAAUUGGCAGCCGGCGUAUUGAUUUCGGAGCGCAGUACAUCUCGCGCUUUGCACUCAUAACGACAGCGUCCAAAAGUACAUUUUACACUCUUGACCUCGGAUCAGGUAGGGAUACCCGCUGAACUUAAGCAUAUCAAAAGCGGAGGA